GGGACAGGCUCACCCUGAAGGGGAGGGAGAGGGGACAGGCUCACCCUGAAGGGGAGGGAGAGGGGACAGGCUCACCCUGAAGGGGAGGGAGGGGGCACAGGCUCACCCUGAAGGGGAGGGAGGGGGCACAGGCUCACCCUGAAGGGGAGGGAGGGGGCACAGGCUCACCCUGAAGGGGAGGGAGAGGGGACAGGCUCACCCUGAAGGGGAGAUACACGCAGGGCCCAGACCUGAGGGCAGCAGGUGAGGGGCCGCGAAGGGAGCUAGCGACGCAGAGACUCCCUCUGAGGAGAAGGCGAAGACCUGCGUCCUGUGGCUGCAGUGGGUUGAUCAGUGCCCCGCCCCCCGGGAACUGGAGCUGUCUGUCACUAGCCUGCACGUCUCAGACCCUGAAAACUCCAUUCCCAGUCCUUAGUGAUCCUCUCCUGGUGAUGCCAGGAAGCAGCGUUGCCAAGCCCUGUGCUGGGGAGCUGAUCCCGACCCUGAAGGAGCCCAGACCACGGAGAGAGAGAAGUAGCCACGAACGGAACUGAAGACAGUUCAUAACGCUGUGAUAGAGGACGACGGACACCUUGCUGUGGGGCCACUUAAAAUGUAUUCUUUAAAAAUAUCAGUCAACAUUUCACUUUGCUCAAAACCCUGUAAAGGAUUUCCGUUUCACUCAGUGAGAGCCAAAGUUCUUCCAAUGGAAAAGUCGCUACACGGUCUGGCUUCCUCCUCCUCCUGUUAUGGAACCGAAGUGAGUUCUCUCCUGAAUAUUUUUUAAAGAUAUUUUCAGAAAAGAGAAAGGAAAUAACAUGCCUCUAGAAGAAGUACAACAAUCCAGGAAGUACAAGAAAGAGGAAGGAUGGAAGAAAGGAAGACAAAAAUUGUAAGGAAGAAGAUUAAAAGAGAGAGAGAGACGUUAACAGGACAAACUAGAAAUAUAGGCAAGUAUCAGAAAAAAAAAGGAUAUUAGAUUGACCAAACAGUGGGUGUUAUUGACUGCCCGGAAUCAACUAGAGGAUUUCAACCUUGACUGGGUUGACAGAACUAAGUUAAUAUUUCACUUGUGCGAAAUAGCAUUUCUUACUGUUAUAUAAUUGUUUGCCUUAGAUGAACAUGCCACCAUGUUGAUAUACGUGAAUUAAACUUCAGGUGAAAUUUGUGUUUUGAGCCCACUGUGGAAGAACUGGAUCAGCAAUGAUUCAGUAAUCAAGAAGUAAAAAUAAAUAGAGGCUGGCCAGGUGGCAUAGUGGUUAGGUUUGCAUGUUCUGCUUCAGCAGCACAGGGUUCACAGAUUUGGAUCCUGGGUGCGGACCUAUGCACCACUCAUCAAGGCAUGCUGAGACAGUGUCCCACAUACAAAAUAGAGGAAGAUUGGCAUAGAGGUUAGCUCAGCGACAAUCUUCCUUCACACAAAAAGAGGAAG
rnacentral:lncRNA from 1 species